UACGUAGGGCGCAAGCGUUAUCCGGAAUUAUUGGGCGUAAAGAGCUCGUAGGCGGUUUGUCGCGUCGGCCGUGAAAUCUCCACGCUUAACGUGGAGCGUGCGGUCGAUACGGGCAGACUUGAGUUCGGUAGGGGAGACUGGAAUUCCUGGUGUAGCGGUGAAAUGCGCAGAUAUCAGGAGGAACACCGGUGGCGAAGGCGGGUCUCUGGGCCGAGAUUGACACUGAGGAGCGAAAGCCAGGGGAGCAAACGGG
rnacentral:rRNA from 1 species